rnacentral:rRNA from 1 species
AGCUUGUAGUAAUAAUUGCAAGUGUAGCCUGCCCAAUGCAAUAGUAAAUGGCCGCAGAACUUUAACUGUGCUAAGGUAGCGUAAUCAUUUGUCUUUUAAAUGGAGACUGUAUGAAAGGCUUAAUGGGAUAUAACUGUCUUAAACAGGUUCAAUAGAAAUUAUUUAUAAGGUGAAAAUACCUUAAAAUUACAAAAAGACGAGAAGACCCUAAGAGUUUAAAUAAAAAGGGGAUUUCUCCUUAAAUUUUUGUUGGGGCAACAAAGGAGCUAUCCUCCUUUAGUUAAUACAAGAAAUAAUUUAGAAAGAAAACACUACCUUAGGGAUAACAGCACAAUCUGUAACGGGUUUGUGACCUCGAUGUUGGACUAGGAAUAGCUAUCUCCAGAAGAGAUAUGUUAAGGCUCUGUUCGAGCGAUUUAACCU